UACGUAGGGUGCGAGCGUUGUCCGGAAUUAUUGGGCGUAAAGAGCUCGUAGGCGGUUUGUCGCGUCUGCCGUGAAAGUCCGGGGGCUCAACUCCGGAUCUGCGGUGGGUACGGGCAGACUAGAGUGAUGUAGGGGAGACUGGAAUUCCUGGUGUAGCGGUGAAAUGCGCAGAUAUCAGGAGGAACACCGGUGGCGAAGGCGGGUCUCUGGGCAGUAACUGACGCUGGAGGAGCGAAAGCGUGGGGAGCGAACAGG
rnacentral:rRNA from 1 species